rnacentral:misc_RNA from 1 species
UCCGGUUUGGCACCGGCAGUCCUCCCAGAGUCCUCGGCUUGACCCGGUAGCAACUGGGAGCGGGGGUUGCGCUCGUUGCGGGACUUAACCCAACAUCUCACGACACGAGCUGACGACAGCCAUGCACCACCUGUACACCGACCACAAGGGGGACCGUGUCUCCACGGUUUUCCGGUGUAUGUCAAGCCUUGGUAAGGUUCUUCGCGUUGCGUCGAGUUAGACCACAUGCUCCACCGCUUGUGCGGGCCCCCGUCAAUUCCUUUGAGUUUCAGCCUUGCGGCCGUACUCCCCAGGCGGGGCACUUAAUGCGUUAGCGCCGGCACCCAGGGGGUCGCUCCCCCAGGCACCUAGUGCCCAUCGUUUACGGCGUGGACUAC